UCGGGUAUGGUGUAACGGUUAACAUUGCCGCCUCUCAUGUAUUUAUUUCUUGUGCGCGGCAGCUCGGGGUUCGAUUCCCCGUACCCGAA
rnacentral:tRNA from 1 species